ACUUAGCUUGCGUUGCCUAAGUCGCGCUUCGCCCUUGCGAUUUGCGUUCGCAAAAAUCAGCCCACUUGAACCUCUCGUAGGUCUCGAAGGACCUGUAAAAGAGAAAGUUGAUUAGUUCGAAGAACGAGCGACGGACAAGUCCCGACGUCUCGUGAAAAGGGGAAGCUUUACAAGCAAUUCAGCGAGCACCUUGCGUGCAUAAGAGAAAAGAGGGAGAGGAGGAAAACAAGGACUUUAGAGGGUUGAACGAACAACUACAAGUCCACAAACAGUUGCUCACCGAGUGCCGGGCGCGACAACAAGUUCCCGUCAAGGUAACGUGCAAACUUGCGAAAGGUUGUUCAACGCCCGACACUAUACCGAAGCCCCAUCCCCCAUGGUGCCACCCGGGUGGUUCCAGGGUGCUGAGAUGGCUGACGUUUCGCGUGCAGCAGCGGGCUGUAGAAAACAGCUAGUGGCACGCGAAAACAGAGCUGUUUUGGGUUGUUUUGGGGCUAUUUUGCUCGGUUCGGUGAGCGGUCGCAUUGUAGCGCUGCAACUUGUUCAAACUUAUAUUUUUAUAAGCAAAAGGACUUGAAACCAAGUCAAAACAUGCUGCCAAGCAGUUAUACAUGUAGAUGAGAGCGAUGAAUGGUUCGUUGAACGGAGUUGUUGUGGGUGCGCGACGACCGUUCGUGACAUUCUCCCCCACUUAAACUGUCGACGCCCUCGUCGACGCUUGUUGGUAGUUGUUGAUAAUUGUUUCUUCAUGUCGUAGGGCAUCUUCGGGCUCCCAACUGGCUUCAGUUCGGGGAAGCUUUCGUCACUUCACCAAGUACUCGGUCUGCUCAGCUUCAUUGGGUAGCUUUAUCUUGCGAUCCGCUAAAAUAGUUUCAACUCGCUUCUCGUAGGAGACUCUGGUAGAGUGUAGCCGAGUUGGAAUACUUCGGGAAGCAUCUUGCGGAUCCGAGUGAUAGGCUUUUAGGUUACUGGCGUGAAGAACAUUGUGAAUUUUGAACCACGCUGGCAGCUGCAACUUGUAGGAGACGUUGCCCACCCUACUGAUAAUUGGGAAGGGCCCUUCAUACUUGCGCAUCAAUCCUUUGUGUACUUUGUUCCUAAAGAAUUGGAGUGAUGCUAGUUGGAGCUUUACCAACACCAAAUCGCCGACCUUGAACUCUUGCGGUCGCCUUCCCAAGUCUGCCCACCUCUUCAUCCUUUUUGCCGCCUUCUCUAAGUAAGCCCGCGCAAUAUCUGCAUUUCGGUGCCACUCCUUUGCGAAGUGGUAGGCUGACGGACUACUCCCAGUAUACCCGAUUGCCAUGGUGUGAGGAGUUGAUGGUUGUUGUCCUGUAAUGAUCUCGAUGGGGCUCUUGUUGGAUGCAGAGCUCCGCUGCAAGUUGUAGGAGAAUUGGGCAAUGUCCAACAACUUCACCCAAUCUCGUUGGUUGGCACUCACGUAGUGCCGAAGAUAUUGCUCUAGGAGCAAGUUUAUCCUUUCGGUUUGGCCAUCCGUUUGGGGAUGGAGCGAUGUGGAGAAGUAUAACUUGGACCCUAACAAUUUGAAUAGCUCGGUCCAGAAUCGUUCCAGGAACCGAGCAUCUCGAUCAUUGAUGAUAUUGUGUGGGACUCCCCAAUACUUUACCACAUCCUUCAUCAUCAGCUUGGCCGCCUCCUCUACUGAACAUUGUAGGGGAGCAGCAAUGAAAGUUGCAUACUUUGAAAAUCGAUCGACCACCACGAGUAUCGAUCCGAGUCUCCCUACUAUGGGCAAGCUUGAUAUAAAGUUCAAGGAAAUGCUCUCCCACGGCUUUUCUGGUACGGGCAACGGCUCCAAAAGUCCCACCGGCUUCCGUUGUUCCACCUUGUCUUGUUGGCAAGUGAGGCACGUUCGAACAUAUUCCUCCACAUCAGUCCUCAUCUUCGGCCAAUAAAAGACCCUCUCCACGAGAGCCAAGGUUCUGUGAAUGCCUGGGUGUCCAAUCCAAAGGGAAUCGUGACUCUCUUAAGAGUUCAUGUCUCAGAUUGUCCACUCGAGGAACAUAAACCCUAUUCCCUUUGGUGUAAACGAGUCUCUCCUGGACCCAAAACCGUCGUGCCUUGCCUUCUUUAAUGAGUUGUAUCAGGGCUUCUGCCUGGGGAUCACUGUACAGUCCAUCCCUGAUCCUGGAAAGGAAGUUGGAGUGCAACUGACUUGCUUGGCCUCUGCCCUCCAAUUGUACGGCAUUCACACGCUCCACUUUCCGACUCAAUGCAUCGGCCACGACAUUCGUCUUUCCAGGCUUGUACUCUAUUGUCAUAUCAAACUCAGCUAGGAAGUCCUGCCAUCGUGCUUGCUUUGGGGAGAGUUUCUUCUGAGUUUGGAAAUAGCUCAAAGCGAUGUUGUCUGUCCUUAGUACAAAUCGCGAUCCAAGAAGGUAGUGUCGCUAAACUCGUAGACAGUGGAUCACCGGUGUUAUCUCCUUCUUGUGCACUGGAUACCGCCGCUCGGUCUCAUUGAGUUUGCGGCUCUCGUAGGCCACCGGAUGACCCUCCUGCAUGAGUACUUCCCCAAUAGCGAAGUCUGAAGCAUCUGUAUUGACUUCGAAGGGCUCCCCAUGGUCAGGCAAUUUGAGCACCGGUUCUUCCAAUACAGCAGCCUUUAGAUCUUGGAAUGCAAUCUCACAUUUAUCAGACCACCUCCAAGGCUGCUCCUUCUUCAGCAACUCCGUUAGUGGAGUUGCACGCUUCGAAUACCCCGCUAUGAAGAGUCGACAGUAGUUGACGAAGCCAAGGAAGGAUCUUAACUCUGGCACCUUCUUUGGAGUUCGCCAUUCCGCAACCGCUUGCACCUUCGAUUUGUCCAUUCGAAUGGAGCUAUCAUCGAUUCGAUGCCCCAAGAAUAAGAUCUCCGUUUGAGCAAAGUAGCAUUUCUCCCUUUUCAUGAACAAAGUGUUCUCCCUGAGAACCUUGAAAAGUGUCCGAUAGUGCUUGACAUGCUCCUCGAGCGUUUGACUGUAGACGACGAUAUCGUCCAAGUAGACGACCACUAACUUAUCCAAAUACUCCUUGAAUAGCUGGUUUAUGAGGGUGCAAAACGUGGCCGUAGCGUUGGUUAAGCCAAAAGGCAUCACCAAGAACUCAAACGCUCCAUACCUAGUCACACAGGUAGUCUUCGCUUCGUCCCCUUCAGCAAUGCGCACCUGCCAAUACCCCAAUCGAAAGUCGAGUUUUGAGAAAUACUUGGCUUUGCCCAACUGGUCGAAUAAGUCCGCGAUGAACGGGAUGGGAUACUUGUUCUUCACCGUCACUUUGUUGAGGGCUCGGUAAUCGACACAUAGUCGGAGGCUCCCAUCUUGUUUCUUCUGGAAGAGAACGGGAGCUCCGAAUGGUGCUUUAGAAUUACGGAUGAGACCACCGCUUAGCAGUUUGCCUAAUUGCUUUCUGAGCUCAGCCAACUCGGGAGGGGGCAUGCGGUAGGGUGGUCUCGCUGGAGGCUUCACUCCUGGCUCCAGCUCGAUGUGAUGAUCCACGCCUCUGCGUGGCGGCAGAGUCUUCGGUAACUCAGGUGGCAUAACAUCCGUGAACUCCUUCAGGAUGUUCGCCACCACAGCAGGUUCAUGAGUGGCCUUCUCGUCGAGUGGCUCUAGCUUCAUAGCAGCCACGAAUGUUAGUUCGCCUUUUCGUACCCCUUUCUUCAGUUGUAAUGCCGAUAUAUGUUGGGGUUCCCUGGUUCCUCUCCGAGAGACGGGCGGGAACCACACAGGGGUCGUCACCUCCCAUCACACAUAGGGAGUUAAGGAACGACAUUCGCACCAACUUCGCCACGUGCAUAAAUUCCAUUCCAAGAAUCACUUGGAAGUCAUCCAAUGGCACCACCAUAAUGUUUGUGCUCCCGCUCCAUGUUCCAAUCUUGAUGGGAACUCCCUUUGCCAUCCCGGAGAUUUGCCUGGCCUCCGAGUUCACCACCUUCAUUCGACUUGGGCUCUUUUCCAAGAUCAGCGUAAGUCACUUUGCUUCUCGAUCGGCAAUAAAAUUGUGGGUAGCGCCCGUGUCCACCAUUGCACGGGUCGUUUGGCCAUUGAGCUUAAUGUCUACGUACAUCAGCUCGCCACUUCCUGCUUUUUGUAGCCUUGUCUUCGUGUUCUCCCCCACUCGACCCCGCAUGGCGUUCAACAAACGCAUUGCUCCCAUCCGGGAUCCUUGCGACUCCUCAACGUCGCUGCUGGAUUCAGAACUACUCGAACUAAGAGCGACAGCCUUGCCCUUGUCCGAUCGGUAGGAACUAAGUUCUCAACUCCCGCUUCAGGUCCUCCCAUGUGUCAACUCGACACCGACUUUGUUGGAUCUCCUCUCAACGAGUUCGUCACCAAAGUUUUGCAUCUUCGUUCAGAUACAUUGUUGCUAUAGAAACUUUGGUUUCUUCAGAAUCAGGCCUCGUAGCUCGAAAGUAUUGUUCCAUGUCAAACAGGAAAUUCUCGAGCUCUUUGGCAUCUCUGGCCCCUCCAUAACCAUGAAGCUCGGGUGCCCUCAAGUUUUGUGGCGGCGCAACGCAGGUGUUGCUUCCUCCCGCAUUUAGUGCUUUUGUGAGCAUGGUCACCCUUGAAGUGAGUUCCGCCACAACUUCCUGCAGGUGUUGCACGGAGUCUUUGGUGUCAUAUGACAAUCGGUCGACUAGGGCCUCAACCUUGUCGAUCCUGGACUCCGCUUCUUCUUGCGAGCUUUCUACCCCAACAAGCCUUCGUUGGUCAUGGUAGAGUUCCUCCAAGCUCGCUUCAAGAACAUCCAAGCGGGUUUCCGUCGUUGUGAGUGUCUCCUUAUAACUCUUUUUCCAAGUUGGCGCUCCAGAUUACGCUUCCUUUGCUCGCGGAGAGCAACCAACUUCUCGCUCAUCAUGUUCGCUGCCGCGCUCCUCUUGAGCGGCUCCAACAGCAUGAGAGCGAGUGUGCACUUGCAGCCCACCUGCGACUGCUUGGGGCAAGGGUCCGACUUGCCCCGUCUUGCUUGAUUCGCCACGAUGCUUUGCCAUGGCGAAGUUGCGAAGUUCCUUCGCUGCUCGCUCGAAGUGCUUGCCCGCUUUGAUACCACAAUGUCACGGACUUUAGCUGGAAUUGCCUAAGUCGUGAGGCACGCUUGCGGCAAAGGCGCAAACUUAGCUUGCGUUGCCUAAGUCGCUAGGCACCUUUGCGGCAAAGACACGAACUUAGCUUGCGUUGCCUAAGUCGCACUUCGCCCUUGCGAUAUGCGUCCGCAAGGAUUAUUCCACUUGCAACCUCUCGCAGGUCCCGAAGGACUUGUAAAAGAGAAAGUUGAUUAGUUCGAAUAACGAGCGACGGACAAGUCCCGACGUCUCGCGAAAAGGGGAAGCUUUACAAGCAAUUCAGCGAGCACCUUGCGUGCACAAGAGAAAAGAGGGAGAGGAGGAAAACAAGGACUUUAGAGGGUUGAACGAACGGUUGAAAUACACAAACAGCUGCUCACCGGGUGCUGGGCGCGACAACAAGUUCCUGUCAAGGUAACGUACGAACUUGUGAAAGGUUGUUCAAUGCCCGACACUAUACCGAAGCCCCAUCCCCCAUGGUGCCACC
rnacentral:lncRNA from 1 species